GACGAACGCUGGCGGUGUGCUUAACACAUGCAAGUCGAACGGAAAGGCCUCUUUCGGGGGGUACUCGAGUGGCGAACGGGUGAGUAACACGUGAGUAACCUGCCCUUGACUUUGGGAUAACUUCAGGAAACUGGGGCUAAUACCGGAUAGGAGCUCCUGCUGCAUGGUGGGGGUUGGAAAGUUUCGGCGGUUGGGGAUGGACUCGCGGCUUAUCAGCUUGUUGGUGGGGUAGUGGCUUACCAAGGCUUUGACGGGUAGCCGGCCUGAGAGGGUGACCGGCCACAUUGGGACUGAGAUACGGCCCAGACUCCUACGGGAGGCAGCAGUGGGGAAUAUUGCACAAUGGGUGGAAGCCUGAUGCAGCAACGCCGUGUGCGGGAUGACGGCCUUCGGGUUGUAAACCGCUUUCGCUCAUGACGAAGCUUUGUGUGACGGUAGGGGGUAAAGAAGCACCGGCUAACUACGUG
rnacentral:rRNA from 1 species